rnacentral:rRNA from 1 species
UACGGGGGGGAGCAAGCGUUGUUCGGAUUUACUGGGCGUAAAGGGCGCGUAGGCGGCCAGCACAAGUCAGUUGUGAAAUCUCCGGGCUUAACUCGGAAAGGUCAACUGAUACUGUGCGGCUAGAGUGCAGAAGGGGCAACUGGAAUUCUCGGUGUAGCGGUGAAAUGCGUAGAUAUCAGGAGGAACACCGAUGGCGAAGGCAGGUCUCUGGGCCACUACUGACGCUGAGAAGCGAAAGCAUGGGGAGCGAACAGG